GACGAACGCUGGCGGCGUGCCUAAUACAUGCAAGUUGAGCGCUGAAGGUUGGUACUUGUACCAACUGGAUGAGCAGCGAACGGGUGAGUAACGCGUGGGGAAUCUGCCUUUGAGCGGGGGACAACAUUUGGAAACGAAUGCUAAUACCGCAUAAAAACUUUAAACACAAGUUUUAAGUUUGAAAGAUGCAAUUGCAUCACUCAAAGAUGAUCCCGCGUUGUAUUAGCUAGUUGGUGAGGUAAAGGCUCACCAAGGCGAUGAUACAUAGCCGACCUGAGAGGGUGAUCGGCCACAUUGGGACUGAGACACGGCCCAAACUCCCACGGGAGGCAGCAGUAGGGAAUCUUCGGCCAUGGACGAAAGUCUGACCGAGCAACGCCGCGUGAGUGAAGAAGGUUUUCGGAUCGUAAAACUCUGUUGGUAGGGAAGAACGUUGGUGAGAGUGGAAAGCUCAUCAAGUGACGGUAACUACCCAGAAAGGGACGGCUAACUACGUG
rnacentral:rRNA from 1 species